AGCUAAUCUCUUAAAGCUGGUCCCAGUCCGGAUUAGAGUCUGCAACUCGACUCUAUGAAGUUGGAAUCGCUAGUAAUCCCGAAUCAGAAUGUCGGGGUGAAUACGUUCCCGGGUGUUGUACACACCGCCCGUCACGCAUGGGAGUCUGUAAUACCUGAAGCCGAUAGCUUAACCCGCAAGGGAUGGGGUCGUCCAGGGUAGGACAGGUGACUGGGGUGAAGUCGUAACAAGGUAAC
rnacentral:rRNA from 1 species